rnacentral:rRNA from 1 species
CCAAUAGCGUAUAUUAAAGUUGUUGCAGUUAAAAAGCUCGUAGUUGAACCUCGGGAUCAAUGGAUUGGUCAUGCCGUUGGUAUGUACUGGUCACAUUGGUUCUCACCUUCUAAGGAACCAUGAUGUCAUUCAUUUGAUGUUGUGGGGAAUUAGGACUGUUACCUUGAAAAAAUUAGAGUGUUUAAAGCAGGCUAACGCUUGAAUACAUUAGCAUGGAAUAAUGAAAUAGGACAUCGCAUUCUAUUUUGUUGGUUUCUAGGAUCGAUGUAAUGAUUAAUAGGGAUAGUUGGGGGCAUUAGUAUUCAAUUGUCAGAGGUGAAAUUCUUGGAUUUAUUGAAGACUAACUACUGCGAAAGCAUUUGCCAAGGAUGUUUUCAUUAAUCAAGAACGAAAGUUAGGGGAUCGAAGACGAUCAGAUACCGUCGUAGUCUUAACCAUAAACUAUGCCGACUAGGGAUCGGAUGAUGUUGAUUUUUUAAUGACUCAUUCGGCACCUUACG